CGGGGAUUAGCUCAGAUGGCUAGAGUGCCUGGUUUGGGACCAGGAGGUCGCGAGUUCGAGUCCCGCAUCCCCGA
rnacentral:tRNA from 2 species